rnacentral:rRNA from 1 species
GAUGAACGCUGACAGAAUGUUUAACACAUGCAAGUCAACUUGAAUUUGGGUUUUUAACUUAGGUUUGGGUGGCGGACGGGUGAGUAACGCGUAAAGAACUUGCCUCACAGCUAGGGACAACAUUUGGAAACGAAUGCUAAUACCUAAUAUUAUGAUAAUAGGGCAUCCUAUAAUUAUGAAAGCUAUAAGCGCUGUGAGAGAGCUUUGCGUCCCAUUAGCUAGUUGGAGAGGUAACGGCUCACCAAGGCGAUGAUGGGUAGCCGGCCUGAGAGGGUGAUCGGCCACAAGGGGACUGAGACACGGCCCUUACUCCUACGGGAGGCAGCAGUGGGGAAUAUUGGACAAUGGACCAAGAGUCUGAUCCAGCAAUUCUGUGUGCACGAUGAAGUUUUUCGGAAUGUAAAGUGCUUUCAGUUGGGAAGAAAGAAAUGACGGUACCAACAGAAGAAGUGACGGCUAAAUACGUG